AGUCACAGUCAGGGGAGGUGUGACUAGGGCUGCAUAAACAAAAUAAUUUUACUCCUAAAUGGCAGAGAAUUGAGAGACGAGGUUGCAGAGGCAUGACCAGAACCAGAACCAACCCACUAAGAUAAAGUAACUGGUGCUUAGAGUGUCCCUUAAGUCAAAACAGAAAGCCUUUAUGAGAAUAUAAACUCGAUAACAAAUGAGAGUUUGUCUCUAAUCAGUGGUUUGUGGUAAAUAUCAAGCUGAUUUGGGAUACAAAUGGGGGUUAGAUGAAAAUUGAGAAGCAAUAAGAAAAGAUGUAUAUGGGGGAGUGACAGAAAGUGGUACAUGAAGGGUGGUUGUGAAGAAGACAAAAAAAGAGGUAGACGAAGAGAUGAAGCUAAAGAGAUGGAUAUAUAAAGGGAUGAGGAGAGGGGUCGAGAUGGGGUGAUGAAGGACAGGAUAAAUUAAGUUGCACUGGAAGGUGGAGAUAGAACGUUGGUGGACAGAAGGCCACGUUAUC